GACGAACGCUGGCGGCGUGCCUAACACAUGCAAGUCGAACGGGUAAGAAGCUUCGGUUUCUUACUUAGUGGCGAACGGGUGAGUAACGCGUGAGAAACCUGCCUUUCAGUGGGGGACAACAGUUGGAAACGACUGCUAAUACCGCAUAAUGUUAUUUGAGGGCAUCCUCGAAUAACCAAAGAUUUAUUGCUGAAAGAUGGUCUCGCGUCUGAUUAGCUAGAUGGCGGGGUAACGGCCCACCAUGGCGACGAUCAGUAGCCGGUCUGAGAGGAUGAACGGCCACAUUGGGACUGAGAUACGGCCCAGACUCCUACGGGAGGCAGCAGUGGGGAAUAUUGGGCAAUGGGGGAAACCCUGACCCAGCAACGCCGCGUGAAGGAAGAAGGCCUUCGGGUUGUAAACUUCUUUUAGCAGGGACGAAUUCUGACGGUACCUGCAGAAAAAGCAACGACUAACUACGUGCCAGCCGCCGCGGUAAGAC
rnacentral:rRNA from 1 species